rnacentral:rRNA from 1 species
CGGGACACGUGGUAUCCUGUCUGAAUAUGGGGGGACCAUCCUCCAAGGCUAAAUACUCCUGACUGACCGAUAGUGAACCAGUACCGUGAGGGAAAGGCGAAAAGAACCCCGGCGAGGGGAGUGAAAAAGAACCUGAAACCGUGUACGUACAAGCAGUGGGAGCACGCUUAGGCGUGUGACUGCGUACCUUUUGUAUAAUGGGUCAGCGACUUAUAUUCUGUAGCAAGGUUAACCGAAUAGGGGAGCCGAAGGGAAACCGAGUCUUAACUGGGCGUUAAGUUGCAGGGUAUAGACCCGAAACCCGGUGAUCUAGCCAUGGGCAGGUUGAAGGUUGGGUAACACUAACUGGAGGACCGAACCGACUAAUGUUGAAAAAUUAGCGGAUGACUUGUGGCUGGGGGUGAAAGGCCAAUCAAACCGGGAGAUAGCUGGUUCUCCCCGAAAGCUAUUUAGGUAGCGCCUCGUGAAUUCAUCUCCGGGGGUAGAGCACUGUUUCGGCAAGGGGGUCAUCCCGACUUACCAACCCGAUGCAAACUGCGAAUACCGGAGAAUGUUAUCACGGGAGACACACGGCGGGUGCUAACGUCCGUCGUGAAGAGGGAAACAACCCAGACCGCCAGCUAAGGUCCCAAAGUCAUGGUUAAGUGGGAAACGAUGUGGGAAGGCCCAGACAGCCAGGAUGUUGGCUUAGAAGCAGCCAUCAUUUAAAGAAAGCGUAAUAGCUCACUGGUCGAGUCGGCCUGCGCGGAAGAUGUAACGGGGCUAAACCAUGCACCGAAGCUGCGGCAGCGACGCUGAUGCGUUGUUGGGUAGGGGAGCGUUCUGUAAGCCUGUGAAGGUGUGCUGUGAGGCAUGCUGGAGGUAUCAGAAGUGCGAAUGCUGACAUAAGUAACGAUAAAGCGGGUGAAAAGCCCGCUCGCCGGAAGACCAAGGGUUCCUGUCCAACGUUAAUCGGGGCAGGGUGAGUCGACCCCUAAGGCGAGGCCGAAAGGCGUAGUCGAUGGGAAACAGGUUAAUAUUCCUGUACUUGGUGUUACUGCGAAGGGGGGACGGAGAAGGCUAUGUUGGCCGGGCGACGGUUGUCCCGGUUUAAGCGUGUAGGCUGGUUUUCCAGGCAAAUCCGGAAAAUCAAGGCUGAGGCGUGAUGACGAGGCACUACGGUGCUGAAGCAACAAAUGCCCUGCUUCCAGGAAAAGCCUCUAAGCAUCAGGUAACAUCAAAUCGUACCCCAAACCGACACAGGUGGUCAGGUAGAGAAUACCAAGGCGCUUGAGAGAACUCGGGUGAAGGAACUAGGCAAAAUGGUGCCGUAACUUCGGGAGAAGGCACGCUGAUAUGUAGGUGAAGCGACUUGCUCGUGGAGCUGAAAUCAGUCGAAGAUACCAGCU